GCGGAUGUAGCUCAGUUGGUAGAGCACAGGAUUGUGGAUCCUGGUGUCGCGGGUUCGAAACCCGUCAUUCGCCCCA
rnacentral:tRNA from 1 species